UGGCUCAGGACGAACGCUGGCGGCGUGCCUAACACAUGCAAGUCGAGCGGAGUUAACAAGAGGAAGUUUCGGAUGGAAUUUGUUAAUUAGCGGCGGACGGGUGAGUAACGCGUGAGCGACCAACCUUGCACAGGGGGAUAACGGACCGAAAGGUUCACUAAUACCGCAUGAGACCACGGUGUUGCAUGACACAGAGGUCAAAGGAGCAAUCCGGUGCAAGACGGGCUCGCGUCCGAUUAGGUAGUUGGUGGGGUAAUGGCCCACCAAGCCUAUGAUCGGUAGCCGACCUGAGAGGGUGAUCGGCCACAUUGGAACUGAGAUACGGUCCAAACUCCUACGGGAGGCAGCAGUGGGGAAUAUUGGGCAAUGGGGGGAAACCCUGACCCAGCAACGCCGCGUGAAGGAAGAAGGUUUUCGGAUUGUAAACUUCUGUCCUUGGUGAAGAGAAGAAGACGGUAGCCAAGGAGGAAGCCCCGGCUAACUACGUGCCAGCAGCUGC
rnacentral:rRNA from 1 species